rnacentral:lncRNA from 1 species
UACGCAUGCAGAUCCAGGAAGACAUCUUCAUCUAAUGCUGACUACCAUCCUUGGACCCUGAAGCCCACAACCACAUGUCAUUAUUCCAACAUACAUCAUCAGCUCACUCAGGGCGCCAUGUCCUUCCUCAUAUCAUUCGAACAUGUACGUUAUACACAGACUGACAUCCAAGCACCUGCCGAUUAUUCAGCAGAUUUUUAAUUCAAGUUCGGUCUGUAGUGAAUGCCCAUAGUAAAAAGUUGAUAUAAAUAAACAUAAGUCACUAUUUGUUGAUCAACAAAGGCCUUCAAUUCAAGAUUACUGAUUGCAAAGUAGCAACAGAGUUGUUAGAAACAAUUUCAAUUGGACUGCGAUCAACAUAUAACAACAAUCCAUAGAUGGCAGUAAAAAUCAAAGCUAAAUGAUUGGAUCGUAGGUAGACUGGAGCCACCAUUUGUCGGUAAAUAAUUAUUAAAAUAAAAUCCUACUGGAAGGCAAAAGUUCUUAUCCUAUUUUGAGACAAAACAAUUGUAACCAAAUACUUAGGUUUACAAGAAAAGCUAUCUAGGAGCUAAGCCUUUGCGGUGAGUGCAGCCUGACUUGAAAAGGAGACACGUACAGAAAAAGGAAUGAUGGCCGGAGCUGUCAUGCGUGAAAGCUAUUGGCAACGUGAUCAGACCUAUACUUAUGUAUGGGGAAAUCCUGCUAGACCAAUCAGCUGGGCAGUCAAUGGUGAUAGAUGGAGGGUGUAGAUGGUGAGUACCCUGAUCAAGAGCAUUGCCAACACUUCGUUAGGAGACCUGGCCGUCAAGAGAUACGGCAGAGCAGCACGAAACAGGAUAGAGGAAGGAGGUGGCUUUUCAUGGAAGGAAACGGGAGAGCUGGGGCAACGUGGACUGCUAGGGGAUUAAGUACGAUUAGAUUGAAAAAAUACCUAGGACGUUUGAAGAAAAAAAGAUUGCAUGAUAACUACCGUAUGAUUUUUACUUUCCAGGAUUAAACGUGGAGGCUUAUAUGGACCCAUCAUAUCAGCGUCUUCUACUAUUGCAUCUUAUAACCUUGAAAGGUCUGUGUGGUUCACCAAAAAAAAAAGGUCUGUGUGAUUUUUUUUCUUGUGGAAUUAUAAGGGUUAAUCUAAACCGUAAUAAUUCGGCCCCACAUAGAUGAACGGCUGGUAAUUUCUAAUUAUUGUGGUAAUUUCUGG